UACGUAGGGUGCAAGCGUUAAUCGGAAUUACUGGGCGUAAAGCGUGCGCAGGCGGUUAUGUAAGACAGGUGUGAAAUCCCCGGGCUUAACCUGGGAACUGCAUUUGUGACUGCAUCGCUGGAGUGCGGCAGAGGGGGAUGGAAUUCCGCGUGUAGCAGUGAAAUGCGUAGAUAUGCGGAGGAACACCGAUGCGAAGGCAAUCCCCUGGGCCUGCACUGACGCUCAUGCACGAAAGCGUGGGGAGCAAACAGG
rnacentral:rRNA from 1 species